UGCCAGCCGCCGCGGUAAGACAGAGGGUGCAAACGUUGCUCGGAAUUACUGGGCGUAAAGCGCGUGUAGGCGGAUUUGUAAGUCAGAUGUGAAAUCCCUGGGCUCAACCUAGGAACUGCAUUUGAAACUACAAGUCUUGAGUAUUGGAGAGGGUAGCGGAAUUCCUGGUGUAGAGGUGAAAUUCGUAGAUAUCAGGAGGAACACCGGUGGCGAAGGCGGCUACCUGGACAAUUACUGACGCUGAGACGCGAAAGCGUGGGGAGCAAACAGGAUUAGAUA
rnacentral:rRNA from 1 species